GGCAGCGGGGGAGUAGCAAUACUCCCGCCGGCGACCGGCGCACGGGUGAGUAACACGUAUGAAACCUGCCCGUAGCAGGGGGAUAAGCGGAAGAAAUUCCGUCUAAUACCGCGUAACAACCCAUGGAGGCAUCUCUGUGGGUUUAAAGGAAGCGAUUCCGGCUACGGAUGGUCAUGCGUCGCAUUAGCUUGUUGGCGGGGUAACGGCCCACCAAGGCGACGAUGCGUAGGGGUUCUGAGAGGAAGGUCCCCCACACUGGUACUGAGACACGGACCAGACUCCUACGGGAGGCAGCAGUGAGGAAUAUUGGUCAAUGGCCGCAGGGCUGAACCAGCCAAGUCGCGUGAGGGAUGACGGUCCUAUGGAUUGUAAACCUCUUUUGUCAGGGAGCAAAGGGCGCCACGUGUGGCGCUUUGCGAGUACCUGAAGAAAAAGCAUCGGCUAACUCCGUGCCAGCAGCCGCGGUAAUACGGAGGAUGCGAGCGUUAUCCGGAUUUAUUGGGUUUAAAGGGUGCGCAGGCGGAAUGUCAAGUCAGCGGUAAAAUUUCGGGGCUCAACCCCGUCGUGCCGUUGAAACUGGCGUUCUUGAGUGAGCGAGAAGUAUGCGGAAUGCGUGGUGUAGCGGUGAAAUGCAUAGAUAUCACGCAGAACUCCGAUUGCGAAGGCAGCAUACCGGCGCUCAACUGACGCUCAUGCACGAAAGCGUGGGUAUCGAACAGGAUUAGAUACCCUGGUAGUCCGCGCAGUAAACGAUGAAUACUAACUGUCCGGGCAGAAUGAUGCCUGGGUGGUACAGCGAAAGCGUUAAGUAUUCCACCUGGGGAGUACGCCGGCAACGGUGAAACUCAAAGGAAUUGA
rnacentral:rRNA from 1 species